rnacentral:rRNA from 1 species
UCCUCCCUCUGUCGGCGCGCCUAACACAUGCAAGUCGAGCGAUGAAAUUUUAACCGAUCUCUUCGGAGAGAAGAUAAAAUGGAUUAGCGGCGGACGGGUGAGUAACACGUGAGAAACCUGCCUUUCACAAGGGGAUAGCCUCGGGAAACCGGGAUUAAUACCCUAUGACACAUUUCCUUCGCAUGGAAGAAAUGUUAAAACUCCGGUGGUGAAAGAUGGUCUCGCGCCUGAUUAGCUAGUUGGUGGGGUAACGGCCCACCAAGGCCAUGAUCAGUAACCGGCCUGAGAGGGUGAACGGUCACAUUGGAACUGAGACACGGUCCAAACUCCUACGGGAGGCAGCAGUGGGGAAUAUUGCACAAUGGAGGAAACUCUGAUGCAGCGACGCCGCGUGAGCGAUGAAGGCUUUCGAGUCGUAAAGCUCUGUCCUAUGGGAAGAUAAUGACGGUACCAUAGGAGGAAGCCCCGGCUAACUACGUG